rnacentral:antisense_RNA from 1 species
CUGUAUGUUUUAUUACUCUUUUUAGUGGUGGAAUUUUUGUUAGUCCUUUUACAAAUUUUGAGAAUUUUAACAUCUACUUUUUCCCCCUCGUUCUUUCCAAAUGAAAACUGUUACCAUUAUUUCUGUUUUGAAAGUAGUAUCAAAGGCUGUCUGUAUUUAUGUGAGCAACAUGCCAAAUAUUUUGAUAGCUUGUACUGUAUCUCUCCCAUUCCAUAUUUUGGUAUAAUUAUUAGGGAGCAGAUCAGAAAUUUUGCUACAUCUGAUCAAUAAUUAUGAUUUUUUUUAACCUUAGAGGAAUUAGAACUGUGUCAUUCAGUGAUGUGUAAUACUAAUACAUAGUUUUAAUAUCUUUUGUUAUUUCAACCACCAAACUCUCUAGUAGCUAAUUUUAGGACUUAUGUUAAUUAUCAAAACUGCUGUGUCUCGCUGUGUAACCAUUUCUGAGGCACCUGUAAAUAAUAUCUGAUAUUACAGAGAUGAUCCCAGAAAAAGCCUUUAGUGAAGGAAAAAACUUAAAACUUACUACACAUGUAGCCUCAUCAAAUUUGUUUCCCCAAAUGUAGAUAUGAGAGAAAGUGAGAUUUGUUUUCAUUGAUUGUGAAAGUGCAACAAGUCCUUCUCCCUCUAUGUUGUUGCUGACUACUGACAACCUGAAACCAAUAAUUCCACAAGGAAAGAAUACAAAAAUUAGCAACAUUUAUUACAAACACUUUCUUGUGUAGUCUUAGCAUUAUUCUUCAGUAUGUUGUAAUGUAGUGGUAAAAAUACUGACCAUUUAAUCCCUAAAAUCCAAGAAACUUAGUUUUCUAAUUAGAUCCUUAAGGUACUUAGUAGAGCUAACUACAUUUUGAAAGUCUUCUGUUUUAUAUUAUUCAGUAAAUGUUUGGGUGGAUAGCAGAUAUAUUUUUCUGGAUAAAUGCAUCCAAGUAUUUUAUUCUUUAGUUCAUUCUUAUUUUUAAAAGUCUUGAUCAUAUUGAAUGCUUCUGAGUUUUCUAUUAGAAUUUAGGAUAAGUAAUAUAAGCAAUACAAAUUUUCUCAUUAAUUUGAAGGAAUCGUUAAUAGAAUCAGUCUAAUUGUAAAAUACAUUACAUUUGAAAAACAGAAAUGUAAAUGUUUACUGUAACUUAAUACUAUGUCAGUUUAGAAGCUGAGUUUUCAUAUUUCAUUAUAAUCUUAAGAGUUAAGGGGAUUGAGGUUAGUAUUUAAAAAUUUGCUUUUCUGUUAUUUUGAUUAAAUAUAAAACCAUACUAAC